rnacentral:lncRNA from 1 species
AUAAGUCUCCAUCUGCUUAGACAAAGAAUACAGUUUAUCUAAGUUUCUAAAAUGGAUUCCUUUCCUCUCUCAUAAUUAUAGGUCAUUAACCUACCAGACAUUUAAUAUAAAACGUAUACUGUUUGCUUCUUGACGAGUUGAAAACCGAGGCUUCUCCAAUCAGUGGUUUGCAUUGGGAGCUAAGUUACAGGAAAAAGAAGAUGGAAAUUACAUCCCUACUCAGCUCCAUGAACUAGGCUUCUUGGAAUCCAAUGCUGGAAGAGAGCCUAAAGAUAAUCAAGCCCAACCCUCUCACUUCGUGGCUCUACUGGCUAAACACCUGGAUAGUUAGGAUGAGGAAGAUGUUUUGGAAUAGCUAUUUUGGCUUCAUUUAGGCAGAUUGAAAGAGC